rnacentral:rRNA from 1 species
CGCGUAGGUGGUUGCGUAAGUCGGAUGUGAAAUCCCCGGGCUUAACCCGGGAACUGCAUCCGAUACUGCGUGACUCGAGUGCAGCAGAGGGAAACGGAAUUCCUGGUGUAGAGGUGAAAUUCGUAGAUAUCAGGAGGAACACCGGUGGCGAAGGCGGUUUCCUGGGCUGACACUGACACUGAGGCGCGAAAGCGUGGGUAGCAAACAGGAUUAGAUACCCUGGUAGUCCACGCUGUAAACGGUGAGUGCUGGGUGUGGGAGGUGUAAUGCCUUCUGUGCCGAAGCUAACGCGUUAAGCACUCCGCCUGGGGAGUACGGCCGCAAGGUUGAA